rnacentral:rRNA from 1 species
UACGAGGGGGGCGAGCGUUGUUCGGAAUUAUUGGGCGUAAAGGGUGCGUAGGCGGUUCCGCAAGUCCUGUGUGAAAUCUUCGGGCUCAACUCGAAGUCUGCACGGGAAACUGCGGGGCUUGAGUGUGGGAGAGGUGAGUGGAAUUUCCGGUGUAGCGGUGAAAUGCGUAGAUAUCGGGAGGAACACCUGUGGCGAAAGCGGCGCACUGGACCACAACUGACGCUGAGGCGCGAAAGCGAGGGGAGCAAACAGG